GCCUGGGUGGCUCAGUCGGUUGAGCAUCUGACUUCGGCUCAGGUCAUGAGCUCGCGGUCUGUGAGUUCGAGCCCCACGUCGGGCU
rnacentral:tRNA from 1 species